UACGGAGGGUGCAAGCGUUAUCCGGAUUCACUGGGUUUAAAGGGUGCGUAGGUGGCUUUGUAAGUCAGUGGUGAAAUCUCGGAGCUUAACUCCGAAACUGCCAUUGAUACUGCUUAGCUUGAAUCAAGUAGAGGUGGAUGGAACAUUACAUGUAGCGGUGAAAUGCUUAGAUAUGUAAUAGAACACCGAUUGCGAAGGCAGUUCACUAUGCUUGUAUUGACACUGAGGCACGAAAGCGUGGGGAUCAAACAGG
rnacentral:rRNA from 1 species